UCCCUGGUGGCCCAGUGGCUAAGACUCUGCACUGUCAAUGCAGGGUGCAGGGUUCAAUCUCUGGUCAGGGAA
rfam:Ovis aries breed Texel chromosome 15, whole genome shotgun sequence.